GGUGAACGCUGGCGGCGUGCUUAAGACAUGCAAGUCGAACGCAGUCUUCGGACUGAGUGGCGCACGGGUGAGUAACACGUAACUGACCUACCCCCACGUCGCGGAUCACUGGCCGAAAGGUCAGCUAAUACGUGAUGUGAUGUCCCCUUUCUGGGGGGCCAUUAAAUGUUUACUGCUGGGGGAUGGGGUUGCGUUCCAUCAGCUAGUUGGCGGGGUAAAGGCCCACCAAGGCAACAACGGAUAGCCGGUCUGAGAGGGUGGCGGGCCACAGGGGCACGGAGACACGGGUCCCACUCCUACGGGAGGCAGCAGUUAGGAAUCUUCCACAAUGGGCGAAAGCCUGAUGGAGCGACGCCGCGUGGGGGAUGAAGGUUCUCGGAUCGUAAACCUCUGAAUCAGGGACGAAAGACGCGUAAGCGGGAUGACGGUACCUGAGUAAUAGCACCGGCUAACUCCGUGCCAGCCGCCGCCGUAA
rnacentral:rRNA from 1 species